CUUGCCUGGAGAAUUCCAUGGACAGAGGAAUCUGGCAGGCUAGAGUCCAUGGGGUUGCAGAGUCAGACAUGACUGAGCAUUGGGAUGCGCAAGGGAGCAUGCGCUGGGUAUCCAGGUGUGCCCAAUAUUAUCAUUAGCAUCCUUAUAUAAGGUAGAGAAACGCUGGUGAGUCAGUGCCGGAGAGAUGUGGUGUGGGAAAGAAGGGACUGGACGUUGCUGGCUUUAAAGGUAGAAGGAAGCUGUAAGGCCAAGAAAUGUGGGUGACCCCUAGAAGAAGGAAAAGGCAAGGCACGAAAGUGGAUUUUCUCCUUGAGCCUCUAGAAAGGAAUGGAGCCCUGGCGUCACCUUGAUUUUAGCCCAAUGAGACCCAUUUUGGACUUCUGAAUUCCAGAACAGCACCACUAGGACCCUGACCACCUGAGGUUUCAAGACAAAGAAGCACGGGGUCAUGACAUACAGGAAGGCAGCAAUGAGUGGAACCAAAUGGAAAUCUACUUGAGCCUAAGGCAGUGAUCUCUCCUCCCAAGGAAAAUAAGCUCUAGGAUUUCACAAAUAGUUCAGCCCAUUUGUCAGGAUACAAGAGCUAGUUGGGCUUUGAGAACAGGCAAGGUUUAUUUGUUGUGCAUGCCUCCAUUGGAAACUCACUUAUAUGGAAACUUAUAUGACUCUACUAGGUGAAGCCAUAUAAAAUCUUCAAGUGCUUCACCAUUUUUAGUCUACUAAAAUGGCAAUUUUAUGUUGUCUAACACAAUCAUAGACUCUGGGGACUUGGGAAGCCAGUUAGCAAUGGAAUUUCUAUAUAAGACAACAGAAUUUCUAUAUAAGACUUAGAAGUGUUAUUUUGGUGGAGGGUGGAGACAUGUAAGAAAUUUACAGGGAAGCGUCAUUUGCUUAGCACACACACUGUUUUUACUUAGUCCACACAAUUGCUUGGAAUGCUCCCUUCCUGCUCUUCUCACCUA